ensembl:lncRNA
UUCACUUUCAUAGUGGGGAAAAUUGGUUUCCAUGACGGCCUAGUGAUUGAGUAACAAUACCCAUACUGUUUAUCAGUAACUAUGUCCUGACACGCUAUGGGAAGUUCAUUCUUAACCGAUGUUGCUUGGCAAGCAAAUCACAAUAAUCCUCUGAGAACCAAUCAGCAAAGGCCUGUCAACUAAACCCCUGAGAGGCCAGUAUAGAAAAUAGAAUCCCUAGAAUGGGGAAGGCCCUCAGACCCAUUAACUUGAAUCGGAAUGUCCGUUCUAGGGAUUAUAUUUCUAUGGUUACACAGGAAACCAGGGGGACCUGCUUCCACAACAGUCCUGGAGGGUUUAAGGUAAAGGUCAGCUUGGUAAUAACUUCAGAUGCUUUUCAGACUUCAUCAACAACCAACAACAUCAACAGGACGUCUGUUUUAAUCAGUCACCCACUGGACUGAACCAUGGGGUGCAACACCAGCAGGGAUGCUGUCGUGGUAGACCCUUCUAAAAAGCCAGAGACCAGACCAGCGUCGGCCAGCUCGACCAGUAAGGCCACCGCUGAGGAGACUAAAGAAACUACAGAGAAAGACAAAGAUGAAACAGAAGGCAUAUCAAGCUGCGACUGACCUCCAUCUUCUUAACCCAAACUCCUCAAAAUUGGCCUGUCUGCAGGUGAAGGAGAUGGUCUCUCUCUGUCUCUCUCUCUCUCUCUCUCUCUCUCUCUCUCUCUCUCUCUCUCUCUCUCUCUCUCUCUCUCUCUCUCUCUCUCA